AUAUCACCAAAAUGUGGAAUGGAGAAGCAUUCAUUAUAGAGAAUACUUGAAGAAUGAAAAGGUAAAUAUUAUGGUUUCUGCCAAUCAGUAUAUUGGAAGCAGAAUUCCAUCCUGGUAUUUCCAGAACUGGCAUAUGAGAAAAAGCAUCUUAAUCUCCACUGAGGUAAGGAGGUCCAGCAAGAAUCAGGCUUUGUCUCAGUGGACUGGAGUCCUCAGCAUUGGUCCAUUAGGGAACUGGAAACUCAUGAUCAGGCUUAGGUGGUUGUAGCUCAGCACAGAUGGAGAAAGUAGAACUGACAAAAGCAGCACAGACAGAUCCUGUGACUUCCAGAGGCAACAUCACUUAGAGUUAUAUAUCAAACUUUGAUAUGGCACCACUUUAAGAGCUCUCGGUAUCUAAUGGUCUUAAGGUUACUGCUGAUUUGAUUUGAACUAGUGCCUCCUGCCAACAAAUAUAGGUCCCCUUUGACCCCACACUUAGGAAUUAUUGUGUCAAUGUGUUCUAAACACUCGUGAAUUUCCAUUAACAAAAGCAGCAUCCUCUUUCAAAACCCAAGAGUCAAGAUCUGGAGCCUAUCAAUAUUCUCAAUGGAAAUAAGCUUUUCAUUUAUUAACCUAAAUUUCAGGACAGGAAAAUGUAGCUUUGAUAGUUCUGUCAACAAAGAAGAUGGGAGGGAUAAAAGAUGACCAAGAAAAGGAUUGGGAAGAUACAAUUAAGUUGACACCCUCAUAACAUGCCUGAGUAUUAACAUUGACAAGUCAAUUUUGAGUUUUUUGUUAAAAUCAUUAGUCAGGAAACAUUCUCCACUUUACAAUUUGUUUUUAUUCAAAGUUCCAAAAUAUAGCCUAAUUUUUCUUAAAUAUUUCUGGCUUUCUACACCUCAAAAGAUACAUUCAAACUUCUUUUGAGUAGGACAAUGUGUUCUAUAUUAUAUAGCAUUUUCAAACAUACAUAUUUCUCACAUUCUUUUGUUGAAUAUCACUUCAUCCAUCUGACUCCUUUAGUUUGUGUGAACUAGCCCUCUUAGUCUACCAUAACUUACCCCUUUAUACCAUUCUGGGCAUUCACACUUAUAGCACUGUAUUAUAGUUGCCUAUUUCUUUGUCUGUAUCUCCCUCAAAGAUAGGCCAUGUCUAUUGCAUUCAUAUUUUAUACUGGUGCCUGCUCAGGGUUUGACACAUAGUAGGUGUUCAAAGAAUGGGUUCAAUAAAUGAUUAGUAAUAUUUUAAACUUUUCAUGCAUAAACUUUUCAGGUAAGCUAUUGAAGCUGUGUUAGUGUUGCCAAUAUAAUGAGAAAACAAUCUCUGGAAGAAAACUAUGAAAUGGCCUUCAGAUCUAACCAGAACUACAUGUGAGACGACAUAAAGACCAGCUGCUGGCACACGGUUAGAAAAUGACCUUGAGGAAAAUUAUGAGUCCAGAUAGGCCAACCUCAGAUUGCUCAUGACAAUAUCCACUGCUGAUAACCAUCUAGCAAAUCAAGAUUGUUACAAGCUCACGGUUCUUGGUCUCCGAGUCAGUAGAAAUUGGCACAAGACCAAACAAGGAAUUUAUACAGGGCCAAUGGGACUCCUACUCCAAUGGUUGUCACAUCCUGUUAAAGAAAGCAGAAAUACCUUCCAUUGAAGCUGGAUGUUAAUCAUUUUCGAAGCUUUUGUUCAGUAUUGUAAGCAGAUUAAGAUUUGGCUCAAGGCUCGGGCAGGUAACCAAAGUUCGCCUCCUAUACUAUUUCAUGAUGACUUGAACAAAGCUUGGUUUCUGCCACCAACCCCCUUUACCCUUUCCCUUUAUAAGUUGCUCAGUAAGCAGAGAUGAGAUGGUCUCUGAGACAAUCGUCGGCCAUCUCCUCAGGCUGCCUGCACUUGAAUGAACCACUUUUCCUUCACCAACACUUGCCUCCGUGUCUGGAUCUCAGGUGGCAGGCAGCCUAAUUUGUGUUCAGCAAGAUUUUCACCUAGCAAUGUGGGAUUGUAAUGAAAGAUAUCUAAUGGCCAGGAGGCUCUAUGAGAUCUUCAAAAAGGAGGUGUUAUUGGAGCUGAACUUGGAAAAAUGAAUAAGAUUCUGGGAAAUAAUUCAGGGAAGGGAAUUCUAGACAGAAGGAAACAUGUUUUCUGUAUAUACAUACAACUCAAAACAAAGUGUGUAGACCAAGCAUUUCAUUCAGAUGUCUUCCUAAUAUACACGGGAGAAAUAAUCAUUUAUUGCUCUGCUUAACACCUUGAUUCUGUUUUGUUUAAAUAUAGUUUCAGAAUCUAUGCAUUGCAAAAGUAGUUCUGGCUCAUUUAAGACCGAGGAUGUUCUGCCAGACUGAUGAGGUGGGGAAAAAACGGCUGGAAGCCUGCUAAAUUGUUAGAAAGGAGAUUAAUGUUAUGUAAAUGUAAGUAAUUAAUCAGCAAGCACCUAGAAACCAAAUACCUGAUGUGAAGAGCCAUUCUUUGAGAGGAGAAAAUUGCUCUCUUCUGAUUAAAAAUGGACUAUCAGACAGUAUUCAGAUUCAUCUUUUGCUUUUAACUUUUCCCAAGCUGUCUGGAGUUAAAUGUAAUUUUCCCCGACUCUUCCAUAUAAAGAGAAAAAAGGAGGUGCACUACUUGAGCUGAGAACCCAUGGCUAAAGAAAGGGGAAAGAGAACUGAGGACAAGAGCUGAGGACCAGUGGCGCUCCUGGAGCUCAGAGCUGUGGACUAAAGUCAGGCAACGAUGUUACCACUGACAACAGGACAUUCAAAACUCAUGAAAUUGCUAUUGGCAUCAUUCCCGACAUGGGCCAAGAGCCUUAUGGAGAACAAAGUCAAUGCACAAGAAAGUAGAUUCAGAGGCUGGAGCAAGAAUGACACGGUCUUGAAGACGUCAUUUGUGAUCCUGGCAUGAUUGCCUGUGACCUGUUCAACCCAUGUACUCCCCAACAAGCCCCCUCUAUUUUCUCAAACCAAGUUGAGUUGAAUUUCUGUUGCUGAAACAGCAACUGUUUUGACUAGUAGAAUGCAGAUAUCUCCAAAGGUUACUCAGAUUCCUAAAGUUGAUUAUUGUUUUUUGUCCUGAAAACUAUCUUGUCUAUAGACUGCCUUUAAGUGUUUAAUAAAAUUUAUUCAAACCUAUUAUGUGCCUGUAACUAUACAAGUCUUGGAGAAUAAAAAGAUGAAUAAAACUUAAUUUUUGCCUUCAUAGAGUAC